AUGGACGGGCACGCGGUGGACGAGCUGAUCCGGCGGCUCCUGGACGGGAAGAAGGGCAAGGCGCCCGGCAAGAAGGUGCAGCUGAGCGAGGCGGAGAUCCGGCACCUCUGCGUCACCGCCAAGGGGAUCUUCCUCUCCCAGCCCAACCUCCUCGAGCUCGAGGCCCCCAUCAACGUCUGCGGCGACAUCCACGGGCAGUUCUCGGACCUACUCCGGCUGUUCGACUACGGCGGGCUGCCGCCGACGGCCAAUUACCUGUUCCUGGGCGACUACGUGGACCGGGGCAAGCAGAGCAUCGAGACCAUCUGCCUGCUGCUGGCGUACAAGAUCAAGUUCCCGGACAACUUCUUCCUGCUGCGGGGCAACCACGAGUGCGCCUCCAUCAACCGCAUCUACGGCUUCUACGACGAGUGCAAGCGCCGCUUCAGCGUCCGCCUCUGGAAGCUCUUCACCGACUGCUUCAACUGCCUCCCCGUCGCGGCGCUCAUCGACGAGAAGAUCCUCUGCAUGCACGGCGGUCUCUCCCCGGACCUCGACAGCCUCGACCGCAUCGCCGAGAUCCAGCGCCCCGUCGACGUGCCCGACCAGGGCCUCCUCUGCGACCUCCUCUGGUCCGACCCCGACCGCGAGAGCCCCGGCUGGGGCGAGAACGACCGCGGCGUCUCCUUCACCUUCGGCGCCGACAAGGUCGCCGAGUUCCUCAACAAGCACGACCUCGACCUCAUCUGCCGCGCCCACCAGGUCGUGGAGGACGGGUACGAGUUCUUCGCGGACCGGCAGCUGGUCACCAUCUUCUCCGCGCCCAACUACUGCGGGGAGUUCAACAACGCCGGCGCGCUGAUGAACGUCGACGCCAGCCUGCUCUGCUCCUUCCAGAUCCUCAAGCCCUUGAGAGCCAAAGCGCAGGCGGACUAA
rnacentral:rRNA from 1 species